rnacentral:rRNA from 1 species
AUUGAACGCUGGCGGCAGGCCUAACACAUGCAAGUCGAACGAGUGGCGGACGGGUGAGUAAUGUCUGGGAAACUGCCCGAUGGAGGGGGAUAACUACUGGAAACGGUAGCUAAUACCGCAUACCAUCGGAUGUGCCCAGAUGGGAUUAGCUAGUAGGUGGGGUAAUGGCUCACCUAGGCGACGAUCCCUAGCUGGUCUGAGAGGAUGAUCAGCCACACUGGGACUGAGACACGGUCCAGACUCCUACGGGAGGCAGCAGUGGGGAAUAUUGCACAAUGGGCGCAAGCCUGAUGCAGCCAUGCCGCGUGUAUGAAGAAGGCCUUCGGGUUGUAAAGUACUUUCAGCGGAGAGGCGUUACCCACAGAAGAAGCACCGGCUAACUCCGUGCCAGCAGCCGCGGUAAUAC